CCACCCACCCCCCGCCCCUACUAACCCCAAAUAAAAGAAAAUCCCUCACGUUCUCUCUGUUGCAAUUUUCCCCAACCCACCAUCCCCCACGCUCGAAUAAAUGAAAGAAAAGUCCUUAUUUUCUGUACAAAAUUUACUUACUGAGCACGGAGCAACUCGGUGAAGAAUCACAUAAGAUUCUGGAGUCCUCGCUGCGACUAAUCUUCCGUUUAUGUUGAAGUGGUCUUAGGAUUUUGUUCACCUUCUCACCAAGGUGGAUUCCGGCUCUGUCUGAUGAUAAAAAAAUGAUCAAAUUAUAUUCCUUAUGUUGUAGGUUUCUCCCCAGUGUCAAGUGAAAUACUGUGAGUUUUCAUAAUGUAUUUGGUGCCAAUUGCAUUUGUCAUCCUUUUGGUGCAUCUCUACUAGGUUGGAGGUUUGAUUGUUGUUGUACCUCCCUCUUAUAUUUCAUUCUCACCCUUAACAUUGCUCAAGUUUUCGCAAUGAAUAGCAAUUGUAAAAUUGAUGUACAAUUAUGUUACUGUUGUAAAAUAAAUGUCACUAAUGUAACUAUAGACUGGAUAGAGAAAAAUGUCCAAAGUAAUCCAAUAUCUUUUAAUUGAUCGAAAUUGGAAAUGUUAAUAUGUGGCAGACUCUAAGUUCCACAUUACUGGCAAUACUUGGGUGGUUUUCUUUGUUAUUCCUUCUUUCCUGAUACUAACACCUUCCUAAUAUAUAGGUCCAUAAUGUUAGUAAAGAUGCUACUAAUUAUAAUAUAAAUUUGCUUAAAUAUCUGUGACUUUUAAGGAAUAGUGUGAGUCUCUUGAUAUUUGCAGUUGUGAUGUUAACAAGGUGGCUAUUCGGUGCCCAAUAAAUAGUUGUACUGAUGGAGGGAUUUGAAUGGAGAGGUCCAAUCAUUAAUAGUCCUGGUUAGGUGAUCUUUGCAACAACACAGGAGCCUUAUUUCAGGUUUGUUCAAAACCUUUCACUUAGCUUAUUUAUGUUUGGACGCAAAGCUAAACAUCUGGUGAACUCAAAUGCUGAGAGCUAGUAUAAAAUCAGUAAUCUUCUAUUUAUUCUAUUGCCAAAGUGAUGAAUUUACAAGUCUUACAGAGUGUGUAUGAUAAAUGAGCUUUUUCAUGUAUACUGUCUCUUAAAUAAAUUAUUUUCUAAACCUCUAUAUUGCUAAUGUGAGACAUCUGACAGAGAUACUCUGUAAAAGCUCAACUGAGUGUUCACCCCCCACCCUCCACCCUCCAUCCCCUCUUUUUGCGGUUUGGUGUUAAGGUACAUAUAAAUUUAUUAUAUAGCUGCCUAAAAAUGAGUAAUUGAUUCUGCUGAAUUUGGUUACCUUGCAUAUGAGACUGAAUAAUAGGCUGUCAAGAAUUUUUGGGGUCGCAAGCUCAGUUUCAAUACCAGUGUGUUGGGUUUAUAUGUUACAUAUAACAUAAUGAAAAUGAAUCUGCAAGGGUUAUAAUUUGCAUUUUUUUUCAUUUUAGUUUUCCAUGUCCCAAAUAUCCUCUCAGCCAUUGUUAUUUCUUUUUAGCAAUUUCUUUGAUUUUCCAUCAGUUGAACAGAAGAUAGUCAUGCGACCAUAUGGGAUGUAGAAGCUUUAGGAAAAUUUAAGAUGUGCAUUUCUUUCUCAGUUUCCCCAGAAUGUUUGUAGUUACAUAAAUGGAGAAAUGCAGUCCAUUCACUGUACAAAUGGCGACUGUGAUUUUUUUUUUUUUUUGGGCAACAACUUUAUUUUUUUGGCUAGCUUUUGAAGUUUUUUUGUUGCGAGUUACAGGGGCAUAGCAGUUGAUGCUUGCAUAUGCAGAUUUGUUCCUUGUAUCAUCCAAUCAGUGCAUAUAUUGAAUAUAUUAAUGUCCAGCCUUAUUCAUUUCACUUUUUGCAAUUUUUCCACUACUUUGUGACUUGUAUUAAGGCAUUGGCUUAAUUGUGCUCAUUUUUUGUGCUUGUUGAUUUCUUUCUAGGUUUAAUACAAAUAGAUGCCUGCCAUUUCAGAUUAGCCUUAUUAGUGAGAUAAUGCCUGAGAUAUCUUUUAGUUACAAUUUUGUCUUUGGCUAAGUGCAUUUUCCUUUAGUCUAGUUUUAAACAUAACUGCUCAACUACAUAAUCUAUUUCUUUUUUCCUACAAUCUCUCUUGUUGGCGUGAACAAAUUGGAGCGAAAAUGGAGUUUCACGCGAGGCUCUCAUAAACAGUGGGUCAUGGAGUCAAUCAUUCCACCUCUGAAACUUGUACAAACACUAACAAAAUAGUGCUAUUUUAGUUUUUGUUCGCUGGGUGGAGAUCGAGAAUUCAAAGUUGAAGAACAUGUCCUUGAAGAAAGUGUUAAGCAAGUUGAAGUGGAGGUUCUUUUGUUUUGUUAGGGAUGGUUCAAAGACAAUGUCUUAUGUACAUAUUCCUCAAAUUAGUUAGUGUCAUAAAAGAUUAUUAAAGACCAGAUGGCUUAUUAGCGAAGGGAAAACCUGGUCGCUAAAUGGAUGUAUAACGAUAGGAAUUUAUGUUGUCGCUAAAGGAUCUUCAACGACCGGGUUUCAAUCCGGUCGUUAACUUUUAAUGGCAAGACUUUUAACUACCAGUGAUGACCGGAUUAUUUCCCGUCAUUAUUGAAUUA